rnacentral:rRNA from 1 species
GACGAACGCUGGCGGCGUGCUUAACACAUGCAAGUCGAACGAUGACGACCGAGCUUGCUCGGUCUGAUUAGUGGCGAACGGGUGAGUAACACGUGAGCAACCUGCCCUUCACUCUGGGAUAACCUCGGGAAAUCGGGGCUAAUACCGGAUAUGAGCUCCUGUCGCAUGGCGGGUGUUGGAAAGUUUUUCGGUGAAGGAUGGGCUCGCGGCCUAUCAGUUUGUCGGUGAGGUAGUGGCUCACCAAGGCGAUGACGGGUAGCCGGCCUGAGAGGGCGACCGGCCACACUGGGACUGAGACACGGCCCAGACUCCUACGGGAGGCAGCAGUGGGGAAUAUUGCACAAUGGGCGAAAGCCUGAUGCAGCGACGCCGCGUGAGGGAUGACGGCCUUCGGGUUGUAAACCUCUUUCAGCAGGGAAGAAGCGAAAGUGACGGUACCUGCAGAAGAAGCGCCGGCUAACUACGUG